UAAGGAAUAUUGCUCAAUGGGAGAAAUCCUGAAGCAGCAACGCCGCGUGGAGGAUGAAGGGUCUAUGACUUGUAAACUCCUGUAAAGAAGGAAAAAAUUCCCAUUAGAUGGGAGAUGAUGGUACUUCUGGAGUAAGCCCCGGCUAACUACGUGCCAGCAGCCGCGGUAAUACGUAGGGGGCAAGCGUUGUCCGGAUUUACUGGGUGUAAAGGGUGCUCAGGCGGAUUUGUAAGUCAGAGGUGAAAUCUUACAGCUUAACUGUGAAACUGCCUUGGAUACUGCAAGCCUAGAGUAUGGAAGAGAGUGAUGGAAUAUCUGGUGUAGCAGUGAAAUGCGUAGAUAUCAGAUAGAACACCAAUGGCGAAGGCAGUCACUUGGUCCAUUACUGACGCUAAUGAACGAAAGCGUGGGUAGCAAACA
rnacentral:rRNA from 1 species